CCCUUCGCGGGGGGAGGGGCAGUAGGGAAUCUUCCACAAUGGGCGCAAGCCUGAUGGAGCAACACCGCGUGAGUGAAGAAGGGUUUCGGCUCGUAAAGCUCUGUUGUUGGAGAAGAACGUGCGUGAGAGUAACUGUUCACGCAGUGACGGUAUCCAACCAGAAAGUCACGGCUAACUACGUGCCAGCAGCCGCGGUAAUACGUAGGUGGCAAGCGUUAUCCGGAUUUAUUGGGCGUAAAGCGAGCGCAGGCGGUUGCUUAGGUCUGAUGUGAAAGCCUUCGGCUUAACCGAAGAAGUGCAUCGGAAACCGGGCGACUUGAGUGCAGAAGAGGACAGUGGAACUCCAUGUGUAGCGGUGGAAUGCGUAGAUAUAUGGAAGAACACCAGUGGCGAAGGCGGCUGUCUGGUCUGCAACUGACGCUGAGGCUCGAAAGCAUGGGUAGCGAACAGGAUUAGAUACCCUGGUAGUCCAUGCCGUAAACGAUGAGUGCUAGGUGUUGGAGGGUUUCCGCCCUUCAGUGCCGGAGCUAACGCAUAAGCACUCCGCCUGGAGACACCGGACCGG
rnacentral:rRNA from 1 species